CGGCAUCUUUAAUAAACCACUCAGUUGCAAUGUGUGGCCUCUGGGACAGGAAAGGGUGCAAGAGCAAUCUUUGAACAUCCAAAACUGAGAGCCGCUUGUGAUGCUCUUGGUUAUUUCACCUCUAAGACAAGUU